CCUUGCGCCCCUUGGUAUUCCGAGGGGCACACCCGUUUGAGUGUCGUGAACAUCCUCAACCUUUCUUUGGUUUCUCAACUGAGGGAAGGCUUGGAGUUUGGAGGUUUUAUUUUUGCUGGCCUCCUCAGAAGCCAGCUCCUCCUAAAUGAAUUAGUAGGGUCUGCUUUGCUGAUCCUUGACGUGAUAAGGUAUUUCUACGUCUUGGAUCAUGCACAAGUCAGUUUUGGAUUCUGCUUCUAACUGUCUUUGCAAAAGACAAUGUUGCAAACCUUGACCUCAAAUCGGGUGAGACUACCCGCUGAACUUAAGCAUAUCAAUAAGCGGAGGAAAAGAAACUAACAAGGAUUCCCCUAGUAACUGCGAGUGAAGCGGGAAAAGCUCAAAUUUGAAAUCUGGUGGUCUCUGACCAUCCGAGUUGUAAUUUAGAGAAGCGUCUUCCGCGUUGGACCAUGCAUAAGUCUCCUGGAAUGGAGCGUCAUAGAGGGUGAGAAUCCCGUCUUUGGCAUGGACCCCAGGGCUUCUGUGAUGCGCUCUCAAAGAGUCGAGUUGUUUGGGAAUGCAGCUCAAAAUGGGUGGUGAACUCCAUCUAAAGCUAAAUAUUGGCGAGAGACCGAUAGCGAACAAGUACCGUGAGGGAAAGAUGAAAAGCACUUUGGAAAGAGAGUGAAACAGUACGUGAAAUUGUUGAAAGGGAAACGCUUGAAGUCAGUCGCGUUGACCGAGACUCAGCCUUGCCUUGGCUUGGUGUACUUCUCGGCUGACGGGUCAGCAUCAAUUUUGAUUCUUGGAUAAUGGCGGUGGAAAGGUGGCACCUUUAUAGGUGUGUUAUAGUCCUCUGUCGCAUACAAGGAUUGGGAUUGAGGAACUCAGCAUGCGCCUCAAGAGGGUGUCGGGGCCUUUUGGCUCACGUUUACAUGCUUAGGA
rnacentral:rRNA from 1 species